GUGUGUUCAUGCGUGCGCACGUGUACCCGUGCGUCCACACUCCGCCAGCACGUGUGCUAGCUUGCAAGUUUUCAGUUUGAGUACAGACACCAGGCCAUAGCCCAAUGGCAGCAGUGACAGGGAGGACCGUGGCAGCAUGUAACAAUCAGAAGACAACUUCCGGAUUUUCACUCUGUCCUAAAAAGGUGGUCAAGUGUGCUAACCACACCCUCUCAGCAGGAUCCCGCGCCUCAAGAGCCUUAGGUCCCGCCCCACACUCCCUCAAACCCUCAGUGCAGCGCUUGUGUCAGGCGCAAUCUCGCAAGAUCCGGUGAGGCGCUACGUCGUGCUCCACUCGGUCCCAAAAGUACCUGCAAGCGCUACACACUUGCGCUCGGCGCCCUUGCUCUGUUCUCACUUUCCGAGAUAUCCACGCAUCUUGAGUCCUGCAUCCACUCCCGGGAGGCGGCUGCGGCAAGCGCGUGAUGGAAGAAGAGCGUGAUAGCCAGCUAGACAGGUGGCCAGAGCGGAGCGGACAGUGGAGCGAUGGCUACGUGCUUGCGGGACAGCGGAAGAGAUGGUUAAAGUGAUUGCCAAGCAGCAGAAAGAUUCCUAAAAUGCUUGCCAGCUAUGCGGAGAUGAAGGUGAGGUUUCAAUGAUUUACAUCGACCAAGAACCCGCAGCCUCGGUCUCUCGAAUCGGAUCCGACAUCAUCCAACACUUCAGUGUUAGAAUUGCAAGCAUGCGCUCUCCCGACCUGGGCAGGCACUUCGAAAAAAUGAUGACUAAAGACACACGUGAAGUACCAAGCGAAACUCACGUCCUUAUGGGACAGUGACUCAUCACAGUCUAAUUCCAUCCUGGCCACCAAGCAAUAAUGCACAUUUCUAACUGGAAGUCAAGCAAACACCAACACUUUCACACUUGUGCCCAUUUCUGACGAGUUACGUCAAGUGGCAACCAACACUUCCACUUAGCCUUGCCUCAGCUUCGAGUGGCACAAGGUAGGACCAACCACACCCUACCAUAAUGCACCAAGUGUACCCUCGGGCAAAGCCCGCCAAGUAGCUAAAGCCCGCCAAAAAAAAAAUCACUGAAAGAAACCACUAGAGGGCAGGUCACAUGACUUCCGCCAUCUUAGACACAUUCAAGAGCAUGUGCCACCUCUCCAGGCUAACUCAGACAUGAAGCUGACAUGUGACACACAAAGCCCUUUGCGUUAUACCGCACCAAGAACUUGAGCCGCCAUCUUUUCCUGUACGACCUAAAUGUCCUAUAAUCCAUUGCUACACACCAGAACAAAGAUUGGGCUGUCGAGCCUCGGGUGGAGCCCCCGAGCCGCCAUUUUAUAGACUUCUGAGCAGCCCUUAAAGCCACGGGGGACCGCGCCAGGGGUCCAUAUGCACACACACCCUGCCCAAUCCCCACACCCACGCUGAGCCCUAUCCCCUAGUCCUCUGCGGCUUCCGCGCAACACCGCACACUAAUACGAGCACUCCUUGGCUUUCUACUUCCGGCUAGCACAACCCCGCAAAUGCUACCACAAAUCAAGGCGAAUCCCGCAACCCCGCACAUAUAAAGAAAGCCUUUAGCUAGCGCAGCGCAAUUGGUUGCUUUUAUCCAGUCCGCUGUGCUCCUCGGUGUCCUAAUUCUUGGCGUAACUGGCUCGAGAAUAGCCGUAUCACGCAGAAGCCAUAAUGGCGGACGCGGGCUCUCCACGCCCUGAACACCCACUCAGUUUAAGAGCAAAGUCGUUUUUCUAAGCCAUAGGUUCACUCACACAGCACCAAACGAUCAGCAGCAACAGUACACGCAAAUAAGAGGCAUAGAUAUUCCAGGUAGUGCAAUAACUCACAAAACCAUAUUUCCAUCCACCAAGCGCCCCGUUGGGCCGUGAAAAAAAAAAUUUAAAGCAGGUAUCCACAGCCCCGAUGGGCAAAAGAAAAAGAAAAAAAAAUAAUAACAGCAGGUAUCCGAGGCCCCGUUGGGCAUGGGAAAAAAAGACUAAACGCAGGUAUCCGAGGUCCCGAUGGACCGAGAAAGGUUUUUUUGUUUUUUUUUUUUUUUUUACAAAAAGCAGGUAUCCAUGGCCCCGAUGGGCUAAGGAGAAGAAAAAAAGAAUAAAAGCAGGUAUCCACAGCCCAGAUGGGCAAGUUUAGAAAAAAAAAUAAUAAGAAAAAAAAAGAAUGAAAAGGCAGGUAAGUAUCCAAAACCCCGUUGGGCAUGGAAUGGCGGGGAGGACACACAGGUAUCCGUGGCCCCGAUGGGCAAGAAUAUAUAAACAAUGAAAGAAAGGUAAGUCCACCAUACACACACAAGUAUCAACCAAAAGGCACAACAAAGAAAUAUUCCUUAAAAAUGAAAAAUUGACUGAAAAUAUUACAAAUAUCAAAAAGUAUGGAGGACAUGUCAAAAAAAAAAUCUUACCAGAACAUAUCAAAACGUCAAAAAUCUCGUGGAAUUUUGAUAUGUUUUCUUAAAUAAGCCAUAAGGCUUGGUGGUAGGGGAACUAAAAAUGUUCCCCCAAAGCUCCUUAGAUGGAGAGAAACCACGGAAGAACCGCACAUCCACGGGAAACGAGCAAACAUGGCUGGAGCAAGCCGUUGCACGCCUUUAACUGAUCCGCGGCGCUGAAGGCGGAGAGACCAGAAGAGGAGUGGCCACAAAGAUUGCAAUUCUGACAUCUUAUUGGACCUUUAGGUCUAACUAUAUUAUAAAAAAAUUAAAAUGAAUAAAGAUGGAGGUACGUAAGCUCAGUGACAUGACGCGUGAAUUUCAUUAUUUUGCGCGAUAAUGAAGGAUUAUCCUAUUUUACAGCUAAAAACGUUUAUGUAGAACUUCCACAUAAACAUUAAAUAAUGUACAUUAGGUCACACACCUGUCUAUGCAAAAUUUCAAUAUAUCUUCUACUUGGACAAACCAUGUAUCGCUCCGCGUCUUGGACACUAGAAGUUCUUCUGCAUUAGUUGGCGACCUCAGAUGAGGAGAGGAAAGGGUAGAAAUGCCUCACAAAAUGGCUCCUUGGUUCCUAAAUUAUCAGAGUAUUAGUUGUGACCGAUUUGGUGGGCUUACGCUCAUAGUUUUGGGUCAUUGGCAUCUUAGUCUUUCUCUGGGAACCUGGUGACUCCAUACCUUGGGACAAAAACGCACUGAAGUACGUUACUCGCUAGCAGUAAUGAAAAAUAAUUCCUAAAUGCCAAAGCAAAGCCUGAGGGAAUAAUAGCUCAUUGGUAUCUUACUCGCCCCAGAGACACUGCUAACUUAAAAGAACUGUCAAAUUUUGUUAACUGUCAAACUAUGAAUAUCCACAUGAAAGAGAUCAGACACCCUGGGUAUUAGAAAAUCAAAGGAUAUUGUUGUCUCGUUGAUUCACGCUGACAAAUAAUUCACAGUCUGUUCUAAGUUCCCUUUAGGCGUCCCAUGAAUAAUAAAGGACACAAAAUUGGUUUGCUUAUGGACGAUCAAAGUGCCAGCAAUUCACUAAUCUUACUAUUGAGGUGGUUCAGGUAGGGAUGGAAAAAUAUCUGCUACAAAAUAAACUGUUUCAACAAAAGAAAAACAAAUUAACAAGUAAAUAAAUGAUGCACACAGACUGAAUAAACCAGCAGGUGGCAGCAUGAAUCUUUCCAAGGCAUCUGAAGCCAAACUUGGAGUGCAAAAGGAUUCCUAUCUGAAUUGAGAAGUAAAGGUUACUUUGUCUAACUUUAGUUGACAGAGCGAUCAGGAUCAGAGUAACAAGCACACCAAAAGCAUCACCAGUGAGAAGUCACAUAGGACAUAUUAGGGAAAAAAGACCCAAGGAAGGGCUCUUCACAGCUAAGAGCACCUGGCUCCACGAUGGAUAUGGCUUUGUAUAAACGAGAACUUCUAAAUGAGCUGUACAAAGAGAAUUUAGAACUUGCGAGGUACUGGUCACAGAUUAUGCAAGCCAGUGUAUCAUUUUUGUGGGGAUGCUAGAGAGAAUCAUCAAAUUAAAGAGUUAAAUUUAGUCUCUGUGUUUUACUUAGUCCCAAUUCUUGCAAACCUCAUCAUUCUUUCUCACACCGUGUACAUCAAGGUAUGUCAGGUUUCGGGGACACUUUUUAGUCUUAUCACAAGAAAGCAUGAAGGGAUAUGUGCUAAAACUCAGUUCCUGGGCUGGAGAGAUAGCUCAGUGGUUAGGAGUGCUGACUGCUCUUCCAGAGGGCCUGAGUUCAAUUCUCAACAACUUCGUAGUGGCUCACAGUCAUCUGUAGUGGGAUCCGAUAUCUAACCUCUUCUGAUGUAUCUGAACAGUGACCGACAGUGUACUCACAUUAAAUAAAUAUUUUUCUAAAAAACACCUCCA
ensembl:antisense Tsix X (inactive)-specific transcript, opposite strand